AAUGUAUAAGUGUUACCAUCCCCGGUGCUUAACAUGUCGUUUCUGAUUAUUUGGUGCUUAAGUGUCCUCAUUAUUGUUAUAUUUCGAUUUAGGAACAAACGAAGGAGUCAAAUUCAAAAUGAAGUUAUUUCGAAUAGCUUAGACACCUCUUCGUAAGACAGGCAUAACUCUUUCGUCUGAACUCCAUAUGCGAAGUAUAAAUACAAUAUAGAAAGCCAGAAGAAGGCUCUGCAACUUGUAUGC
rnacentral:lncRNA from 1 species